rnacentral:tRNA from 1 species
CGGAACGUAGCGCAGUCUGGUAGCGCACCACGCUGGGGGUGUGGGGGUCGCAGGUUCAAGUCCUGUCGUUCCGACCA